rnacentral:rRNA from 1 species
AACGAACGCUGGCGGCAUGCCUAACGCAUGCAAGUCGAACGAGACCUUCGGGUCUAGUGGCGCACGGGUGCGUAACGCGUGGGAACCUGCCCUUAGGUUCGGAAUAACUCCCCGAAAGGGGUGCUAAUACCGGAUAAUGUCUUCGGACCAAAGAUUUAUCGCCUUUGGAUGGGCCCGCGUUGGAUUAGCUAGUUGGUAGGGUAAAAGCCUACCAAGGCGACGAUCCAUAGCUGGUCUGAGAGGAUGAUCAGCCACACUGGGACUGAGACGCGGCCCAGACUCCUACGGGAGGCAGCAGUGGGGAAUAUUGGACAAUGGGCGAAAGCCUGAUCCAGCAAUGCCGCGUGAGUGAUGAAGGCCUUAGGGUUGUAAAGCUCUUUUACCCGGGAUGAUAAUGACAGUACCGGGAGAAUAAGCGCCGGCUAACUCCGUG